CUAUAGUGUUAUGAUGUAUGCAAGUCCUUUGCUUCGUUACGACAUAUUAACAUGUUCGCUUCAGUUCAUGUUCUACACUAAUAAAAUCACAAGUUCCUUGAGGAGGAAGUUCCUUUGGAAAGGUAACAAUGAAAAUCCAAGUUUCAUUUGGUUAAGUGAGCAAAGGUUACACAGCCUUGGACUAGGGGUGGUCUAGGCAUCUGUUAGAUAUGUAAAUAUA
rnacentral:lncRNA from 1 species